UACUAACAGGAUUCCCCUAGUAACGGCGAGUGAAGAGGGAAAAGCCCAGCAUCGAAACCCACAGCCUUGCGCUGUCGGGAACUGUGGUGUAUAGGAAGCCUACUUGUCGGCGUGUUCGGGUACCCAAGUCCUCCUGAUGUGGCCUCUCCCAUAGCGGGUGUCAGGCCCAUAGAGGCACCCCACGGCAUCAGCUUGUACUUCCUCGGAGUCGGGUUGUUUGGGAAUGCACCCAAAGUGGGUGGUAAACUCCAUCUAAGGCUAAAUACUGCCACGAGUCCGAUAGCAAACAAGUACCGUGAGGGAAAGUUGAAAAGAACUUUGGAAAGAGAGAGA
rnacentral:rRNA from 1 species